rnacentral:rRNA from 1 species
AUUGAGCGCUGGCGGCAUGCCUUACACAUGCAAGUCGAACGGCAGCAUGGAGAGCUUGCUCUCUGAUGGCGAGUGGCGAACGGGUGAGUAAUGCAUCGGAACGUACCGUGUAAUGGGGGAUAACGUAGCGAAAGUUACGCUAAUACCGCAUACGACCUGAGGGUGAAAGCAGGGGAUCGCAAGACCUUGCGUUAUACGAGCGGCCGAUGUGAGAUUAGCUAGUUGGUGAGGUAAAGGCACACCAAGGCGACGAUGUGUAGCGGGUCUGGUAGGAGGAUCCGACACACUGGGACUGGGACACGGCCCAGACUCCUACGGGAGGCAGCAGUGGGGAAUUUUGGACAAUGGGGGCAACCCUGAUCCAGCCAUGCCGUGUGAGUGAAGAAGGCCUUCGGGUUGUAAAGCUCUUUCGGCCGGGAAGAAAUCGCACAGGCUAAUACUCUGUGUGGAUGACGGUACCGGCAUAAGAAGCACCGGCUAACUACGUGCCAGCCGCCGCGGUAA